rnacentral:lncRNA from 1 species
AUCAGAUGAUGUCUUUUCCAGAUACAAAGUAGAAUUAAACAUGGCGCUGAAGAGAAUCUCAUCACCAUGCAAUGAGAGUUGAGGCAGGAGGCGGCCUUCUGGGUGAAGACUAACGAGAAGUUUCCAUUUAGGAAGCUUUUCUGCAGCGAGCUGACUUUGAGUCUAAUACCUUUUUUUUUCUCUUACUCUUUUCUGAGAUAAUUGUAUUUUAAAUAGUUCUUAAAAAGGAUUUUACUGGGUGGAAAUAUAAGGCUUCGUUCUUUCUGAAGGAAGCGGUUUCAGUGAAAAUUUAUUUAACCCCACGGCGCCAAAGGGAUGAAGAUUUCACAGUCUUCUUGGCAGCUUGGUUUAAAGAUUAGUCACACUUAAGUUAUAUCUGAGCCACCAGAGGAUUGAACCACACCAGUGAAUAAAAAGCAGCCCGCCCCGCCUGCCUUCUAAGUGGACUCUGCCUUCUGAGGUGUUUCGUUUAUCAUCAAAUCUUCUCAUGGUCAUUCAGAUUUGAAGACAUACACAGAGUGCUUGCUCAUCCUCACAUUAAGAAAAUAAGUAAGCGAUGGACAUAUAAGAAUUCUGGAAGUAUUAGAGUCUACAUAAUUCAUCCCUCCUUCAAGUCAUGAGAUCUUCAAUCAGGGUAAAUAUGAAAUUAAAGCCAACUCAUGGCCCUGGCCUGGAGCACCCUUACGUGAGGCCCAUGCAGCCAUCUGAGCCACUGGAUAUGUCCUACUUUUUGUCCAAAUCUCUGGGCCUCACAAAAAAGCCCUCUCACAGUUAUAGAACUUAUAAGAAAACGAAAUCAGAAUCUCUCUAUUUGACAUUUUUAACAAUUACUACAAGAAUCUGAAGUUUGUUGCUAUUCGGAAAGGUCCAGUAACCUUGGAGGGGCUAUAUUCUGUUGGUGGCAGGGUCAAGUAAAAUAGGAAGAUUGAUCUUAGUUAUUAAGAAGAUUAAUUUAUGCUACAAAUAAACUCCACAAUGGGGCUGAAUUUUCUUUAUCCUUUUAAAUAAAAUUACAAUGCUGAAAAUCCACCGCUUUUUGUUUCUUUUAAGUUGGGUCUACACAAGGCAGCUAGUUACCAACAUGCUUCAUUAU